rfam:Gossypium arboreum cultivar AKA8401 contig_195_7, whole genome shotgun sequence.
UGUUAAAAUUUUCAUCCAUUCGUACUAUUAAAAUUUUCAGCCAUGUGUACUUCAUGUUGAUGUAUAUGAAUCAAUUUUUAGUAGUAGAAAUUGAUGAAAUUUUUAAUA